ensembl:lncRNA
CCUGUUCAACUGCUGAUAUGCAAAGAAGUACAAAACAUCCGAACUUGAGGAUAAACGAAGAAACAAAAAAUAGUAAGCAACCAAACUUGUGGGCACACGAAGAAACAAGGGUUACUGUAGGUAUUUAAUCUCAGGACAACGCUGUUUUUUUCAAGCUCAGUUUCUAUAACUUGUUUUUCCGCCAAUGGUUUAGAAGUUGCGUUCAGCUACCAGUAACUUGACUAAAGAAUUUGAAUGUUAAUAGAAUAUUGCAAACAGUCAUUGUUUAAUACCAAACAGUCAUUACGUUCUUACUCAGUAACCUAACAACACUUAACGCUAGUUAUUUAUAAUAGAACAGAACAGAACUCACCAUAGAUAUGUAGGUUACUCUGCGUUCAACAAUUUUCAGUCUGAUGUCCAAUAAAUCCUUGACCUUCGUUUGUUUCGGGAGUUCAUCAAAUUGUAGUAAAACAAUGUGAUAAUCCAGGUUCUAUUGUCCAAUCCAUAAAAUAUUAUGGAAGCAAUGGCGAGAUGUGUUUACUGUACAUGUCUACACAAAGGUCCUUUACACAAGCAAUAUUGCAAUAGUCAAAGUCUAUUUUAUUUAUAAACUACCAAUGUUGACCAAAAUUCUGUACACUAAGAUUUAACAAUAUUAAAAUAAAUCAAAUAAUCAGUACAAGAAUAAAAGGGGUACAAUAGCAUCUCUGCUGGAAGAAAAUGGCAACACAAGCAUAUACAGCAGACUAAAACGCACGCCCACUUUUCAGUGGCUAGCAGCCAGCUUAACGCAGUCGGGCUGCUGGUGGAAAGCUGCCUGAGAUGCAAAUUAGCAUAUGCAAAUUGAGAUCAGGAGAAAAGCGGCAAAAGCUGGUGGGCCGCUGGCUGUACGACAUUUUAGCCUUGCUCACUGGGUAAUUUAUUUAAGAAACUGCAAAUGUGUACAUUUGCUCCGACUUUUCGAUUAGCUAGCUAACGUUAUUCGGUGCAGUGGACAGGCUAGUUAACUAAGUUAAGUAAUUACAGUACCAGUAGAGAGAAUUGCUCUUGAUUUUCACUUUAAUAAAAAUGUCAUAUAUCAUAAGAUUAUGGCUAUAGUCUCCAUAUAACCUUCUGCCAUUCAUCUUCACAUUCAUAUUUUAUUCAGGGACUACUGAGGAGGUUACAGCCCUCAGAGUAGAGGGGGGCAAAUGAAACCCUCUUCACUGGGAAGAGGAAUUCAUCAAAAACUGGAUGGGAAGCCUUCGUGAAUCAGGCAGAGUGAGAUAUCUCUCACUUCUGGCAGCUGCUGCCCUCUCCCUCAGCUCUUCCCUUUCUAGAGCCUGCCUCUCUCCUCUUCCUUCUCAGCCUGUAUUUUGAGGAAGUUGAGGAGUUCACCUGCCCACUUUUUCUCUGCUGGCCUGGCUCUCUCCCUGGCAGGGGCAGAGGAGGAGGCACCUGCAGUGGAUGUAAUGUGUGCUGCAACUACCAUGGGUGGAUUAAGAGUGCUGCCCCCGGAGUGCUGCAUCCAUUGUGGCGUACCACUGCCAGGAGGCAGCAGUGACUCCUCCUGCCUCCACCCAUUUCCCCGAUGGUGGGUCCCUCAGCUCCUUAAGGCAAAGAUUCAACUUUAAGUUGCAGAGUUGCAAGGAACUUAGACAUGUGUAUAUCAUUUUAAAUAUGAAAUCAUGAGGAUUUUGCAUUAAACAAAAAAUCGAAUGAAAGCACUCAUCUUGUCACAAAUUGCCUGAUCUGUGGAAGUGCCAACAAACAACUGGUUUUGGGAACUGUAUAACACCGUAAUAAGCAUCAUCACAUCUGACUUUACAAUUGUUGAGGGAGAAGCUAUUGCAGUAAAUAAGCAUAACUUUUUUCAAUUGUUGUAAAUUACCUUGUUGGUUUUUUCAAUUGUUCCGCUUUUAUUUUUAUUUUUUUUGCUUGUUUGGCUCUAAUAAGGGAACUCUGCCUGAUUCACAAAUAAUGUACUGAUAAUACUAAACACAGUGAGUUCAAUGGUUGAAUGUCAUUGCUAUACUGGGUUAUUUGUGGUCCAAGAUUAUUUAAAUCUUUUAGAACUGUUCUGAUUCAGCCUGUGGAAUCGGAAACAAGCACUUGCCAAUAGCAAUAGUAAGGCAUUUACUUUAUGAGAUGGUUGGGGUUUCCGUUAAUGUUUUCAACUUAAGCAAAAUGGAUUGGUGCCAACAUGAUGUAUCCUUUCCAUCCUCUGUCUCAUUCUGGACCUCUGGAUUAGAUGCCUUUGCUCAGCUGCCCCAUAUAUAUAGUGGAUGUAAUAUAUGCAGUGGACGUAAUAUUACAUCUAAUCGGUUGUCUUGUCUAUCUUUUACAUCUGCUUUUUUCUGCUGGUAGCUCGUUAAUGUGCUUGUGAAAUUCACGAGGUACCAGCGGGAAAAACCUAAGCAAAAAAAUAGGCAACUGAUUGAAAAGAUAGGCUAAAUAGAUAUGCAGUUUCUUAUUGAUAACGUAUUUGUGCAUGCACACAAUCAAUACGUGAGGCCCUUGAUUUCUU